UACAGAGGGGGCAAGCGUUGUUCGGAAUUACUGGGCGUAAAGGGCGCGUAGGCGGCCUGUUAAGUCGAACGUGAAAUCCCCGGGCUCAACCCGGGAACUGCGUCCGAUACUGGCAGGCUUGAAUCCGGGAGAGGGAUGGCGGAAUUCCAGGUGUAGCGGUGAAAUGCGUAGAUAUCUGGAGGAACACCUGCGGCGAAGGCGGGUUGCUGGGCUGACACUGACGUGAGGCGCGAAAGCCCAGGGGAGACGGA
rnacentral:rRNA from 1 species